UUACGGCCAUAUCACGAUGAAACACCGGUUCCCGUCCGAUCACCGAUGUUAAGCAACGUCCAGCCUGGUCAGUACCUAGAUAAGUGACUGCUUCGGAAUACCAGGUAGCGUA